rnacentral:rRNA from 1 species
GGAGGGUGCAAGCGUUGUUCGGAAUCAUUGGGCGUAAAGCGCGUGUAGGCGGCCGAAUAAGUCUGAUGUGAAAGCCCGGGGCUUAACCCCGGAAGUGCAUUGGAUACUGUUCGGCUAGAGGACGAGAGGGGGAAGCGGAAUUCCUGGUGUAGGGGUGAAAUCCGUAGAUAUCAGGAGGAACAUCAGCGGCGAAGGCGGCUUCCUGGCUCGUAUCUGACGCUGAGACGCGAAAGCGUGGGGAGCAAACAGGGAUUAGAUACCCUGGUAGUCCACGCCCUAAACGAUGGAUGCUAGUCGUCGGAGUACCUAAUAGCUUCGGUGACGUAGCUAACGCAUUAAGUAUCCCCGCCUGGGGAUUACGGUCGCAAGAUUA